rnacentral:rRNA from 1 species
AUUGAACGCUGGCGGCAUGCCUAACACAUGCAAGUCGAACGAGUGGCGGACGGGUGAGCAGUGUCUGGGAAACUGGCUGAUGGAGGGGUCUAAGUACUGGAAACGGUAGCUAAUACCGCAUACAGCCCUAUGUGCCUAGAGGGGAUUAGCUAGUUGGUGGGGUAACGGCUCACAAAGGCGACGAUCCCUAGCUGGCCUGAGAGGGUGACCAGCCACACUGGAACUGAGACACGGUCCAGACUCCUACGGGAGGCAGCAGUGGGGAAUAUUGGGCAAUGGGCGAAAGUCUGAUGCAGCCAUGCCGCGUGUAUGAAGAAGGCUUUCGGGUCGUAAAGCACUGUCAUUGGGGAGGCGUUACCCGAAGAAGAAGCCCCGGCUAACUCCGUGCCAGCAGCCGCGGUAAUUC